ensembl:rRNA 5S_rRNA 5S ribosomal RNA
GUCUACGGCCACACCACCCUGAACGCGCCCAAUCUCGUCUGAUCUCAGAAGCUAAGCAGGGUCGGGCCUGGUUAGUACUUGGAUGGGAGAUCGUCUAGAAUUAACCAGUGAAUUCUGUUGGUU